AAGGCAGCGCACAGGUGGUAAGUGGGGACUGUUGGAGAGCUGUUUCCUGAGCUUGGCUCCAUGACUGAGCUGUGUUGGGAAACUCCUGCACCCGUGAGUAAAGUGUUUUUACAUGAUUAAACGUUGGGUAGCACUAGAGCACUGUGCAGUUUAAACAUACCGUAACACCACUAGAUUUGAAUUCUUUCAUUUACACAGCCUAACAAUGUUUGUCAUUUUAUUGUAUUGCUGCACGGAAGAUGUAAGUGAUGUGUUACCAGAAAUAUUCAAUCUUAUAUGGUGAGACUUUUCAAGGCACCCAAAGAAGGCUCCACAGACGAAAUGUUGUGUUUCUCUUCUUCUCUUUUCAGCAUGAAGUAAACCUGUACUUGUUCCUUUGCAGCCUACGUAUGCUGACGCAGCUCCCUACUUGAACUACAUCAUCUGAUAUACAUUUCCUGUUUAGCAGCAAUCCUCCCGAAGCUGCAUGACCUAAGAACUUCUGUGUCCCAUCCAGUUGCUGCAACCGAGACCUGAAGGUGUUGGGACCAGUAAAUGAUAAUUUUUUUUGGCAUUGUUGGGCAUUGUUCGGAAUUAUCGGCGUGGUGCGAUUUUCAAAUAUAAAAUGGGGGUCUCCUUUGAAAGCCGCAUGCUAGUGUCGUGUGUGGACACACAUUCCAAGCUGCACAUCUGCAGUGCCUGUCUUGCAGCGUGGUGUGGUCACUUUCUGGAGGGAUUCGGUUCUCUCUCCCAGAUCCCGGACAAGCACGUGCCUGUUCGCUGGUCACUGAAAUCUACGUGUUCAGCAGAGCUUUCGUCUGGCUUGUUAUUCCACAGGACAGAUCACCACUUCGUGAGCUGACCAGUGCUCUCCAUGAACAGGUGAGUUAGGGCUCACAUUAUAUUAAAUCAUGUAUUCUGUGUCAUUAGUCAUUAUUCAUGAUAUUGAUAGAUAAUUAAUGAAAGCGUUUCCUUUGAUGCUUAGUAUAAUAAACACUGAGCUAACAAUUUGAUCUUCAUUCUUGAAUGAGUGGCACUCCAGGUGUAAAGGGACUUCAGGCCAGCCACAGUAGUGCAAAGUGAAGUGCAGAUGUGUUUAGGCCCCAUCCAUGUUAUUACAGCUUCAUCCAAUUCAGGGUCGAGGUAGAGCUGGAGUCUGUAUCGGCAAGAAAUGGGCUCAAGGCAGGGUACACCCUGGACAGGACUCCAGUCCAUCGCAGGGCACAUUCACACUCACAGCCACAUGUAGGGCAUAUUUCCCUAGAAGCCAGUUACCCUACCAGCAUGCUUUUGGACUGUGGGAGGAACACGGAGGGAACCCAGAUGA